rnacentral:rRNA from 2 species
GACGAACCGAGCGAACGUUGUUCGGAAUCACUGGGCUUAAAGGGCGCGUAGGCGGGCUGUCAAGUCUGGGGUGAAAUCCCGCGGCUCAACCGUGGAACUGCCUCAGAUACUGACGGUCUCGAGGGGGGUAGGGGCGAGCGGAACUGUGAGUGGAGCGGUGAAAUGCGUUGAUAUUCACAGGAACUCCGGUGGCGAAGGCGGCUCGCUGGACCUCUUCUGACGCUGAGGCGCGAAAGCCAGGGGAGCAAACGGG